ensembl:snRNA LOC120096095 U6 spliceosomal RNA
GUGCUCGCUUCGGCAGCCCAUGUACUAAAAUUGGAACGAUAUUGAGGAGAUUAGAUGGCCCCUGCACAAGGUUGACACACAAAUUCGUGAAGCGUUCCAUGUUUUU